UAGGGAAUCUUCCGCAAUGGGCGCAAGCCUGAUGGAGCAACACCGCGUGAGUGAAGAAGGGUUUCGGCUCGUAAAACACUGUUGUAAGAGAAGAAUGACAUUGAGAGUAACUGUUCAAUGUGUGACGGUAUCUUACCAGAAAGGAACGGCUAAAUACGUGCCAG
rnacentral:rRNA from 1 species